rnacentral:rRNA from 1 species
AAACGUAGGAGGCGAGCGUUAUCCGGAUUUACUGGGUGUAAAGCGCGUGCAGGCGGUUUAGCAAGUCGUGCGUGAAAGCGCCCGGCUCAACCGGGCGAGGUCGUGCGAAACUGCUUAACUUGAGGUAGGUAGAGGCGUGUGGAAUUCCGGGUGUAGUGGUGAAAUGCGUAGAGAUCCGGAGGAACACCAGUGGCGAAGGCGACACGCUGGGCCUGACCUGACGCUCAGACGCGAAAGCAUGGGUAGC